rnacentral:sRNA from 1 species
GCGGCCGCUCCCUCGUCUCAUCCCCAGACUCAUGGGGCAGCACCCCAGCCGACAGCCCCGUGCCGAGCCCCGCGCGACCCGGCGCCCGCCGGGAGCCCCGCGCCCCCUCCGUAGCUCCUUCCGGGCGACGUGCUGGCUCUGUUGGAGACCUGGAUGCCCCUCUCGCCUCUGGAGUGGCUGCCUGAGGAGCCCAAGUGACAGCGGACAACUGACGCCGUCUCUGUGAGCACCGAGGCUUUUUGGCCUCAGCACCUUCGAAGUGGUUCCUUGGCAGACUGCCUUUCCUGGAAGAGGGCACGGGCGAUCCCGACGGGGGCAUUCCUGCGGGUGAGAGCCGUCCCCACCACGGCGGCCCUUCUCAGCUCCUCCCUCCAAGGAGGGACCCAUAGGGCUAGACACUUUGAGGCAAUCAGGAGGCUCUGCCUAAUGUGAAUUUAUUUAUUUGUGAAUA